rnacentral:rRNA from 1 species
AGCAUGUGGUUUAAUUCGACGCAACGCGAAGACCUUACCAGGGCUUGACAUCUUCUGACCGCUUAAGGAAACUUAAGCUUUCCGGAAGGUUUACUUUCUGGACAGAAAGACAGGUGGUGCAUGGUUGUCGUCAGCUCGUGUCGUGAGAUGUUGGGUUAAGUCCCGCAACGAGCGCAACCCCUGUCUUUAGUUGCCAGUAUUCAGUUAGGCACUCUAAAGAUACUGCCUCGGUUAACGGGGAGGAAGGUGGGGACGACGUCAAGUCCUCAUGGCCUUUAUAUCCAGGGCUACACACGUGCUACAAUGGGUCGUACAAAGGGUCGCCACUCCGUGAGGAGGAGCUAAUCCCAAAAAGCGGCUCUCAGUUCGGAUCGGAGUCUGCAACUCGACUCCGUGAAGUUGGAAUCGCUAGUAAUCGUGGAUCAGCAUGCCACGGUGAAUACGUUCCCGGGCCUU